UCUGUGGUUGAGGAGAGAGGAUGAAAGGAAUCAUCAAAUUGAGAUAGAGCUUACCUCAGUUUGGUUCAGGAGAGAAGAGCAGCACUGAUAGGUGCUAGUGGACUCCAGUAUGUAUUUGUCUGUCUGUCAGAGAGUAGGUAGGUGCUAGUGGACUCCAGUAUGUAUCUGUCUGUCUGUCAGAGAGUAGGUAGGUGCUAGUGGACUCCAGUAUGUAUCUGUCUGUCUGUCAGAGAGUAGGUAGGUGCUGGUGGACUCCAGUAUGUAUCUGUCUGUCUGUCAGAGAGUAGGUAGGUGCUAGUGGACUCCAGUAUGUAUCUGUCUGUCUGUCAGAGAGUAGGUAGGUGCUAGUGGACUCCAGUAUGUAUCUGUCUGUCUGUCAGAGAGUAGGUAGGUGCUAGUGGACUCCAGUAUUUAUCUGUCUGUCUGUCAGAGAGUAGGUAGGUGCUAGUGGACUCCAGUAUGUAUCUGUCUGUCUGUCAGAGAGUAGGUAGGUGCUGGUGGACUCCAGUAUGUAUCUGUCUGUCUGUCAGAGAGUAGGUAGGUGCUGGUGGACUCCAGUAUGUAUCUGUCUGUCUGUCAGAGAGUAGGUAGGUGCUAGUGGACUCCAGUAUGUAUCUGUCUGUCUGUCAGAGAGUAGGUAGGUGCUGGUGGACUCCAGUAUGUAUCUGUCUGUCUGUCAGAGAGUAGGUAGGUGCUAGUGGACUCCAGUAUGUAUCUGUCUGUCUGUCAGAGAGUAGGUAGGUGCUAGUGGACUCCAGUAUGUAUCUGUCUGUCUGUCAGAGAGUAGGUAGGUGCUAGUGGACUCCAGUAUGUAUCUGUCUGUCUGUCAGAGAGUAGGUAGGUGCUAGUGGACUCCAGUAUGUAUCUGUCUGUCUGUCAGAGAGUAGGUAGGUGCUAGUGGACUCCAGUAUGUAUCUGUCUGUCUCUCAGAGAGUAGGUAGGUGCUAGUGGACUCCAGUAUGUAUCUGUCUGUCUCUCAGAGAGUAGGUAGGUGCUAGUGGACUCCAGUAUGUAUCUGUCUGUCUCUCAGAGAGUAGGUAGGUGCUAGUGGACUCCAGUAUGUAUCUGUCUGUCUCUCAGAGAGUAGGUAGGUGCUAGUGGACUCCAGUAUGUAUCUGUCUGUCUGUCAGAGAGUAGGUAGGUGCUAGUGGACUCCAGUAUGUAUCUGUCUGUCUGUCAGAGAGUAGGUAGGUGCUGGUGGACUCCAGUAUGUAUCUGUCUGUCUGUCAGAGAGUAGGUAGGUGCUAGUGGACUCCAGUAUGUAUCUGUCUGUCUCUCAGAGAGUAGGUAGGUGCUAGUGGACUCCAGUAUGUAUCUGUCUGUCUGUCAGAGAGUAGGUAGGUGCUAGUGGACUCCAGUAUGUAUCUGUCUGUCUGUCAGAGAGUAGGUAGGUGCUAGUGGACUCCAGUAUGUAUCUGUCUGUCUCUCAGAGAGUAGGUAGGUGCUAGUGGACUCCAGUAUGUAUCUGUCUGUCUGUC